GACGAACGCUGGCGGCGUGCUUAACACAUGCAAGUCGAACGAACAGGCCCUGCUCUUGUUGGUUUCUCGAUUGGCGAACGGGUGUGUAACACGCUUGUAUCCUGCCCUUGUCUUUCUGAUAACUUCUCGAAACUGGGGCUCAUACCCGAUAUGAUCUCCUGCUCCACGUUGGGCGUUGGAAAGUUUCGGCUGUUGUGGAUCGACUCGCUGCUUCUCAGCUUCUUGGUGUGGUAGUGGCUUUCCAAGGCUUUGACGGGUAGCCGGCCUGAGAGGGUGACCGGCGACAUGGGGACUGAGAGACGGACCAGAAGCCUACGGGAGGCAGCAGUGGGAAAUAUUGCACAAUGGGCGGAAGCCUGAUGCAGAAACGCUGCGUGCGGGAUGACGGGCUUCGGGGUGUAAACCGAUGUCGACGGUGACGAAGAGUGAGUGACGGUAAUGAGUAAAGAAGCACCGGCUAACUACGUG
rnacentral:rRNA from 1 species